UCAAUUAUUUAUAGCCUCUGGCUAUAGGAAAUUGUUAGUGGCAGACGGGUGAGUAAUGCGUAGGAAUCUACCUAGUAGUACGGAAUAGCCAUUAGAAAUGGUGGGUAAUACUGUAUAAUCCCCGAGGGGGAAAGAUUUAUCGCUAUUAGAUGAGCCUACGUUAGAUUAGCUAGUUGGUGAGGUAAUGGCUUACCAAGGCUAUGAUCUAUAGGUGGUGUGAGAGGACGAUCAGCCACACUGGAACUGAGAUACGGUCCAGACUCUACGGGAGGCAGCAGUGGGGAAUAUUGGACAAUGGGGAAAGCCUGAUCCAGUAUGCCGCGUGAGUGAAGAAGGCUCGGGUU
rnacentral:rRNA from 1 species